UACGGAGGAUGCAAGCGUUAUCCGGAAUGAUUGGGCGUAAAGAGUCCGUAGGUGGUUAUUCAAGUCGAUUGUUAAAGAGCGGGGCUUAACCCCGUAGAAGCAGUGGAAACUGAAUAACUAGAGAGAGGUAGGGGUAGAGGGAAUUCCCGGUGUAGCGGUGAAAUGCGCAGAUAUCGGGAAGAACACCCAUGGCGAAGGCAGCUCUCUGGGACGGUACUGACGCUGAGACGCGAAAGCGUGGGGAGCAAACAGG
rnacentral:rRNA from 1 species